AUGCAGCUUGUCUCCUGUGGUCGAACCGCCAUUAACAUUAAUGGUGAGAUUGGCCCCUUCUUCCCCAUGCUAUGUGGGGUUCGCCAAGGCGACCCUUUAUCACCGUUCCUAUUUAACAUGGUGGUAUACACCCUUGCGGCCAUUCUUGACAAGGCCAAAUCGGCCGAUCACAUUCACGGCGUGGUCCCACAUCUAGUAGGAGGGGGUGGGGUCUCCCUCCUCCAAUAUGCCGAUGACACCAUAAUAAUGGUU
rnacentral:rRNA from 1 species